AUUCUUCUGUCUGACUUAGUUCACUUAGUGUAAUACCCUUCAAGUCCACCCAUGUUCUUGCAAAUGGCAAAACUUCACUCUGUCAGACUGGUACACACAGAGUAAACGGCACUUCCAGAGAAUGACUAGAAAAUACUUAAUUGAGGUCAUUUGAUGGUUAGAAUGCUGAAAGAGUCCACACUAUUGAGCUCUAGUGGGGAGGGGCAAAUCAACUUACC